rnacentral:rRNA from 1 species
UAGGGAAUAUUGGACAAUGGGCGAAAGCCUGAUCCAGCCAUGCCGCGUGAGUGAAGAAGGCCUUAGGGUUGUAAAGCUCUUUUAGUGGGGAAGAUAAUGACUGUACCCACAGAAAAAGCCCCGGCUAACUUCGUGCCAGCAGCCGCGGUAAUACGAAGGGGGCUAGCGUUGUUCGGAAUCACUGGGCGUAAAGCGGGUGUAGGUGGAUGUUUAAGUGAGGGGUGAAAGCCCAAGGCUCAACCUUGGAACGGCCUCUCAUACUGAGCAUCUAGAGUCUGGAAGGGGGAAAUGGAAUUCCGAGUGUAGAGGUGAAAUUCGUAGAUAUUCGGAGGAACACCAGUGGCGAAGGCGAUUUCCUGGUACAUGACUGACACUCAGACCCGAAAGUGUGGGGAUCAAA